UUCCUGGGGACCCCAGACCCGUGCCUCCUCUCCCCACUCAACCAGAUCCUGCAUUCCCGGGCAGGAGAGAGAAAACGACCCUGAUUCACUCAAAUGCCUGCCACAGCUGAGGGCUGAAUUGUGCAAAGCCAGGGUUGGGAACUCAAUCUGGCUGUCUCAGAUGGUAAAGUGGAUUGUGGAGUGCAGGCUGCAGCCGUCCUCCUUCAGCCACGUGGUGCUUCAGGGAUGGAAGUCAGGAGGCCUUUCCUGGGAAGGUUUUGCAGCCAGAACUAAGACGAGUGAACCAGCCUCUGGGCUGCUGGAAUAGCGUGUAUGAGGUCUUCAGUGUACCAGCCCCACUUUGGCAGUCGGGGCUUCAGAGAGCAGGGAGCCCCUUUGUAGAGACAAAGGAAAAAGUGAAGCUGAUGUGGGAGGCCAUGGGGAGAGUGUGGUUGAGCUGUUCUUGGUUCUACUGUUUUGAGGCUCACCCUUAGAAAUCUGACUUCCCCAAGUUCUCUUAGCAUAAUCUCCUUUUUUUUUUAAGACCAGUUUGAGAUUUUUGUUCCUUAGUCUUAGUACCAAGUACAAAUUAUCUUAUUUCUAUCUGUUAAUCUUCAAUUAUUUGGAUGUCAAAUAUAAAUCAACAUUAAAGAAAUGCUAAACCGAUAAUGACAAUGAUUUUGCACUGCUUAUAAUGUGCCAGGUACUAUUCUUCAACCAAGU